GAUGAACGCUGGCGGCGUGCCUAAUACAUGCAAGUCGAGCGAACAGACGAGGAGCUUGCUCCUCUGACGUUAGCGGCGGACGGGUGAGUAACACGUGGAUAACCUACCUAUAAGACUGGGAUAACUUCGGGAAACCGGAGCUAAUACCGGAUAAUAUAUUGAACCGCAUGGUUCAAUAGUGAAAGACGGUUUUGCUGUCACUUUUAGAUGGAUCUGCGCCGCAUUAGCUAGUUGGUAAGGUAACGGCUUACCAAGGCAACGAUGCGUAGCCGACCUGAGAGGGUGAUCGGCCACACUGGAACUGAGACACGGUCCAGACUCCUACGGGAGGCAGCAGUAGGGAAUCUUCCGCAAUGGGCGAAAGCUUGACGGAGCAACGCCGCGUGAGUGAUGAAGGUCUUCGGAUCGUAAAACUCUGUUAUUAGGGAAGAACAAAUGUGUAAGUAACUAUGCACGUCUUGACGGUACCUAAUCAGAAAGCCACGGCUAACUACGUG
rnacentral:rRNA from 1 species